rnacentral:rRNA from 1 species
CCUACGGGAGGCAGCAGUAGGGAAUCUUCCGCAAUGGACGAAAGUCUGACGGAGCAACGCCGCGUGAGUGAAGAAGGUUUUCGGAUCGUAAAACUCUGUUGUUAGGGAAGAACACGUACGAGAGUAACUGCUCGUACCUUGACGGUACCUAACCAGAAAGCCACGGCUAACUACGUGCCAGCAGCCGCGGUAAUACGUAGGUGGCAAGCGUUGUCCGGAAUUAUUGGGCGUAAAGCGCGCGCAGGUGGUUCUUUAAGUCUGAUGUGAAAGCCCCCGGCUCAACCGGGGAGGGUCAUUGGAAACUGGGGAACUUGAGUGCAGGAGAGGAAAGUGGAAUUCCACGUGUAGCGGUGAAAUGCGUAGAUAUGUGGAGGAACACCAGUGGCGAAGGCGACUUUCUGGCCUGUAACUGACACUGAGGCGCGAAAGCGUGGGGAGCAAACAGGAUUAGAUACCCUGGUAGUCCACGCCGUAAACGAUGAGUGCUAAGUGUUAGGGGUUUCGAUGCCCUUAGUGCCGAAGUUAACACAUUAAGCACUCCGCCUGGGGAGUACGGCCGCAAGGCUGAAACUCAAAGGAAUUGACGG